UGUUUGUGUAUCACAGUGCUGCUGGCAAAUUUUGAAACAAAAUUAGAGUUUGGCAAUCAAUUAGAGCAGUCAGACAGCAUGCAGAGCCCUUCACAACAGACCAAGACUCCUGCUCUUAGGAUUACCAGCAUGGCUAUGGUAAUGGAAAAACCUAGUUAUAGAGCUCUGGAGUUGGAAUACCAACACAUGUGACCUCGCAGUAGGAGCAGAUUACGAUCCAACAGCAAAUAGCUUCAUCCACUUGCAGCAAACACCUUCCAUGAAGCACAUAGGAAACAGGAACUCACAGCAUUGACCCAGCAUUAGGGGGUCUUAAAGCUACACUUGGUGUCAGGGCAGAACAAAGAACUACUCUUCACAGUGUUACCCUGUGACCCCCCAGCUUCCAGAGCAUCCCUACAUGACAAUGAGUAUGAGCCAGGGGUACUGUCCUGGUCUAAGCAGCACUA